GCUUUUUCUGCCAUUUGACUUUUCCUUUCUACUUUGUCGGUAGAGAGCGAGCGCGAGCAUGGGUCGCAAAAAGAAGAAGCAGCUGAAGCCGUGGUGCUGGUAUUGUAACAGAGAUUUUGAUGAUGAGAAGAUCUUGAUACAGCAUCAAAAAGCAAAGCAUUUUAAAUGCCACAUAUGUCAUAAGAAGUUGUAUACUGGACCUGGCUUAGCUAUUCAUUGCAUGCAGGUGCAUAAAGAAACAAUAGAUGCUGUACCAAAUGCAAUUCCUGGAAGAACAGACAUAGAGUUGGAAAUAUAUGGCAUGGAAGGUAUUCCAGAAAAGGACAUGGAUGAAAGACGGCGACUUCUUGAACAGAAAACACAAGCAGAGAGUCAGAAAAAGAAGCAACAAGAUGAUUCUGAUGAAUAUGAUGAUGAUGAUUCUGCAGCCUCAACGUCAUUUCAACCACAGCCUGUUCAACCUCAGCAAGGGUAUAUUCCUCCGAUGGCACAGCCAGGACUGCCACCAGUUCCGGGAGCACCAGGAAUGCCUCCAGGCAUACCUCCAUUAAUGCCGGGAGUUCCUCCACUGAUGCCAGGAAUGCCACCUGUUAUGCCAGGAAUGCCUCCUGGAUUGCAUCAUCAGAGAAAAUACACCCAGUCAUUUUGCGGUGAAAACAUAAUGAUGCCAAUGGGUGGAAUGAUGCCACCUGGACCAGGAAUACCACCUCUGAUGCCUGGUAUGCCACCAGGUAUGCCUCCCCCUGUCCCACGUCCUGGAAUCCCUCCAAUGACACAAGCACAGGCUGUUUCAGCACCAGGUAUUCUAAAUAGACCACCUACACCAACAGCAACAGUCCCUGCACCACAGCCUCCAGUAACCAAGCCUCUUUUCCCCAGUGCUGGACAGAUGGGGACACCUGUAACAAGCUCCAGUACAGCUUCAUCCAAUUCAGAAAGUCUGUCUGCAUCUUCUAAAGCUCUGUUUCCUAGCACAGCACAAGCUCAAGCAGCGGUUCAAGGACCUGUUGGUACAGAUUUCAAGCCCUUAAAUAGUACCCCUGCAACAACUACAGAACCCCCAAAGCCUACAUUCCCUGCUUACACACAGUCUACAGCUUCAACCACUAGUACAACAAACAGUACUGCAGCUAAACCAGCGGCUUCAAUAACAAGUAAGCCAGCUACGCUGACAACAACCAGUGCAACCAGUAAGUUGAUCCAUCCAGAUGAGGAUAUAUCACUGGAAGAGAGAAGGGCCCAGUUACCUAAAUAUCAACGUAAUCUUCCUCGACCAGGCCAGGCUCCCAUUGGUAAUCCACCUGUUGGGCCCAUUGGAGGUAUGAUGCCACCACAGCCAGGCAUCCCCCAGCAACAAGGAAUGAGACCCCCGAUGCCACCUCAUGGUCAGUAUGGUGGUCAUCAUCAAGGCAUGCCAGGCUACCUUCCUGGUGCUAUGCCACCAUAUGGGCAAGGACCACCAAUGGUACCCCCUUAUCAAGGUGGACCUCCGCGACCUCCUAUGGGAAUGAGACCUCCUGUAAUGUCUCAAGGUGGCCGUUACUGAUCUUACUUCAUCCAGUCUAAUAGGUUUUUAGAAGUGAAGUAUAGUAAAUUUGGUUCGUAAAAUUGUGAAGGCGCUGGAAUUACAUGAACAUACCACCUUAUUAAAGCCCUGCCAUAGGACAGGCUGAGGCUGAGUCUCAGUGUUGCCCUGUUCAGUCUGAGGCAAGUGGGAUUUAUUUUAUUCCUUAUAGGGGCUUUCACAGCUUUAUGGCUGUUGGAUAUUUAUGUCCCCAAACUUGCAGCAAGUUUGGUGAAGGCCCCUAAAUUUAAGUAAACUUAGGAUUUUUAUACUCUAUUGGCAGAGAAGGCUCUAUAUUAAUAUUCACGUUUGAUUGUGGUGUUAACGAGCAGAGUUACUACUUGAAUAUGUAAUUUUAUGUAAUUUACUUUGCGUUACCUGGUACUUAAACAGCUUCAGUUAAGCUUGUAUUAUUACAUUGAACUUUAGUAAAUUGACAAAAUUGAUGUUAUAGAUUUGGAGGUAUGAAUUGUUUCAAAUUUCCAUUUUUGUUUUUAGGAAAAUCUUACUGGUAAUUUUCUCCUCAGACCAUUAAAUUUAACGUCAACGAUAAGUUUAAUCAUUGGAAAUGUGUUGCAUACUGAAAUCUGCAUUCUUAAUCCCAAGCUUACAUAUUGAGCAUUACGGUUGAGAGGUCAUGGAAAUGCUUGUGACUUUUUGAUAUUUUGAAACAUCACCACAUUAGAGCAAAUGUUAAUGUAGAGCCCUGUGUAAAGUGGCAAGAUGGUGUAUGUGUGUGUGCUUGUGUGGCGUGUACCAAUAUGGACAGCAUAUUUGAUAGACAAAAAAUAAUAAAAGAGUUUGGAACUAUAA